GACGAACCGUGCAAACGUUAUUCGGAAUUACUGGGCGUAAAGGGCGCGUAGGCGGCCUUCUAAGUCAGACGUGAAAUCCCCCGGCUUAACCUGGGAACUGCGUCUGAUACUGGGAGGCUUGAGUAUGGGAGAGGGAUGUAGAAUUCCAGGUGUAGCGGUGAAAUGCGUAGAUAUCUGGAGGAAUACCGGUGGCGAAGGCGGCAUCCUGGACCAUAACUGACGCUGAGGCGCGAAAGCUAGGGGAGCAAACGGG
rnacentral:rRNA from 1 species